GGGUUGUGAGGUUAAGCGACUAAGCGUACACGGUGGAUGCCCUGGCAGUCAGAGGCGAUGAAGGACGUGCUAAUCUGCGAAAAGCGCCGGCGAGGUGAUAUGAACCCUUGACCCGGCGAUGUCCGAAUGGGGAAACCCAGUGCAAUCCGUUGCACUAUCGUUAACUGAAUACAUAGGUUAACGAGGCGAACCGGGGGAACUGAAACAUCUAAGUACCCCGAGGAAAAGAAAUCAACCGAGAUUCCCCCAGUAGCGGCGAGCGAACGGGGAGCAGCCCGGAGUCUGAAUCAGCUUGUGUGUUAGUGGAACGGUCUGGAAAGUCCGACGGUACAGGGUGAUAGUCCCGUACACGAAAGCACACAUGCUGUGAACUCGAAGAGUAGGGCGGGACACGUGGUAUCCUGUCUGAAUAUGGGGGGACCAUCCUCCAAGGCUAAAUACUCCUGACUGACCGAUAGUGAACCAGUACCGUGAGGGAAAGGCGAAAAGAACCCCGGCGAGGGGAGUGAAAAAGAACCUGAAACCGUGUACGUACAAGCAGUGGGAGCCUCUUUAUGGGGUGACUGCGUACCUUUUGUAUAAUGGGUCAGCGACUUAUAUUCUGUAGCAAGGUUAACCGUAUAGGGGAGCCGAAGGGAAACCGAGUCUUAACUGGGCGUUAAGUUGCAGGGUAUAGACCCGAAACCCGGUGAUCUAGCCAUGGGCAGGUUGAAGGUUGGGUAACACUAACUGGAGGACCGAACCGACUAAUGUUGAAAAAUUAGCGGAUGACCUGUGGCUGGGGGUGAAAGGCCAAUCAAACCGGGAGAUAGCUGGUUCUCCCCGAAAGCUAUUUAGGUAGCGCCUCGUGAACUCAUCUUCGGGGGUAGAGCACUGUUUCGGCUAGGGGGCCAUCCCGGCUUACCAACCCGAUGCAAACUACGAAUACCGAAGAAUGUUAUCACGGGAGACACACGGCGGGUGCUAACGUCCGUCGUGAAGAGGGAAACAACCCAGACCGCCAGCUAAGGUCCCAAAGUCAUGGUUAAGUGGGAAACGAUGUGGGAAGGCACAGACAGCCAGGAUGUUGGCUUAGAAGCAGCCAUCAUUUAAAGAAAGCGUAAUAGCUCACUGGUCGAGUCGGCCUGCGCGGAAGAUGUAACGGGGCUAAACCAUGCACCGAAGCUGCGGCAGCGACACUUAUGUGUUGUUGGGUAGGGGAGCGUUCUGUAAGCCGUUGAAGGUGUGCUGUGAGGCAUGCUGGAGGUAUCAGAAGUGCGAAUGCUGACAUAAGUAACGAUAAAGCGGGUGAAAAGCCCGCUCGCCGGAAGACCAAGGGUUCCUGUCCAACGUUAAUCGGGGCAGGGUGAGUCGACCCCUAAGGCGAGGCCGAAAGGCGUAGUCGAUGGGAAACAGGUUAAUAUUCCUGUACUUGGUGUUACUGCGAAGGGGGGACGGAGAAGGCUAUGUCAGCCGGGCGACGGUUGUCCCGGUUUAAGCAUGUAGGCGGAGGUUCCAGGUAAAUCCGGUACCUUAUUAACGCUGAGGUGUGAUGACGAGGCACUACGGUGCUGAAGUGAUAAAUGCCCUGCUUCCAGGAAAAGCCUCUAAGCAUCAGGUAACACGAAAUCGUACCCCAAACCGACACAGGUGGUCAGGUAGAGAAUACCAAGGCGCUUGAGAGAACUCGGGUGAAGGAACUAGGCAAAAUGGUGCCGUAACUUCGGGAGAAGGCACGCUGAUGUGUAGGUGAAGCCCCUGCGGGUGGAGCUGAAAUCAGUCGAAGAUACCAGCUGGCUGCAACUGUUUAUUAAAAACACAGCACUGUGCAAACACGAAAGUGGACGUAUACGGUGUGACGCCUGCCCGGUGCCGGAAGGUUAAUUGAUGGGGUUAGCGGCAACGCGAAGCUCUUGAUCGAAGCCCCGGUAAACGGCGGCCGUAACUAUAACGGUCCUAAGGUAGCGAAAUUCCUUGUCGGGUAAGUUCCGACCUGCACGAAUGGCGUAAUGAUGGCCAGGCUGUCUCCACCCGAGACUCAGUGAAAUUGAACUCGCUGUGAAGAUGCAGUGUACCCGCGGCAAGACGGAAAGACCCCGUGAACCUUUACUAUAGCUUGACACUGAACACUGGUCCUUGAUGUGUAGGAUAGGUGGGAGGCUUUGAAGCGUGGACGCCAGUCUGCGUGGAGCCAACCUUGAAAUACCACCCUUUAAUGGCUGGUGUUCUAACGUAGACCCGUAAUCCGGGUUGCGGACAGUGUCUGGUGGGUAGUUUGACUGGGGCGGUCUCCUCCCAAAGAGUAACGGAGGAGCACGAAGGUUGGCUAAUCCUGGUCGGACAUCAGGAGGUUAGUGCAAUGGCAUAAGCCAGCUUGACUGCGAGCGUGACGGCGCGAGCAGGUGCGAAAGCAGGUCAUAGUGAUCCGGUGGUUCUGAAUGGAAGGGCCAUCGCUCAACGGAUAAAAGGUACUCCGGGGAUAACAGGCUGAUACCGCCCAAGAGUUCAUAUCGACGGCGGUGUUUGGCACCUCGAUGUCGGCUCAUCACAUCCUGGGGCUGAAGUAGGUCCCAAGGGUAUGGCUGUUCGCCAUUUAAAGUGGUACGCGAGCUGGGUUUAGAACGUCGUGAGACAGUUCGGUCCCUAUCUGCCGUGGGCGCUGGAGAAUUGAGGGGGGCUGCUCCUAGUACGAGAGGACCGGAGUGGACGCAUCACUGGUGUUCGGGUUGUCAUGCCAAUGGCACUGCCCGGUAGCUAAAUGCGGAAGAGAUAAGUGCUGAAAGCAUCUAAGCACGAAACUUGCCCCGAGAUGAGUUCUCCCUGAGACUUUAAGUCUCCUGAAGGAACGUUGAAGACGACGACGUUGAUAGGUCGGGUGUGUAAGCGCAGCGAUGCGUUGAGCUAACCGAUACUAAUGAACCGUGAGGCUUAACCUUACAACGCCGAAGGUGUUU
rnacentral:rRNA from 1 species